rnacentral:rRNA from 1 species
UACGAAGGGGGCUAGCGUUGCUCGGAAUUACUGGGCGUAAAGGGAGCGUAGGCGGGUUAUCAAGUUGGAGGUGAAAGCCCAGGGCUCAACCUUGGAAUUGCCUUCAAAACUGAUAGCCUAGAGUAUGAUAGAGGUAUGUGGAACUCCGAGUGUAGAGGUGAAAUUCGUAGAUAUUCGGAAGAACACCAGUGGCGAAGGCGACAUACUGGGUCAUGGACUGACGCUGAGGCUCGAAAGCGUGGGGAGCAAACAGGG